GGCAACAUGGCCGAGCGGUCUAAGGCGCCAGAAUCAGGUCGGAGAUCAUGUAAUCAUUCGCCGGUUGUGCAAUCUGGUCCGAAAGGGCGCGAGUUCGAAUCUCGCUGUUGUCA